rnacentral:rRNA from 1 species
GGGGAAUUUUGGACAAUGGGCGAAAACCUGAUCCAGCCAUGCCGCGUGCAGGAUGAAGGCCUUCGGGUUGUAAACUGCUUUUGUACGGAACGAAAAGACUCCUUCUAAUAAAGGGGGUCCAUGACGGUACCGUAAGAAUAAGCACCGGCUAANCUACGUGCCAGCAGCCGCGGUAAU